UGAGGAAUAUUGGUCAAUGGACGUAAGUCUGAACCAGCCAAGUAGCGUGCAGGAUGACGGCCCUAUGGGUUGUAAACUGCUUUUGUAUGGGGAUAAAGUCAAUCACGUGUGAUUGUUUGCAGGUACCAUACAAAUAAGGACCGGCUAAUUCCGUGCCAGCAGCCGCGGUAAUACGGAAGGUCCGGGCGUUAUCCGGAUUUAUUGGGUUUAAAGGGAGCGUAGGCUGGAGAUUAAGUGUGUUGUGAAAUGUAGACGCUCAACGUCUGACUUGCAGCGCAUACUGGUUUCCUUGAGUACGCACAACGUUGGCGGAAUUCGUCGUGUAGCGGUGAAAUGCUUAGAUAUGACGAAGAACUCCGAUUGCGAAGGCAGCUGACGGGAGCGCAACUGACGCUGAAGCUCGAAGGUGCGGGUAUCGAACAGGAUUAGAUACCCUGGUAGUCCGCACAGUAAACGAUGGAUGCCCGCUGUUGGUACCUGGUAUCAGCGGCUAAGCGAAAGCAUUAAGCAUCCCACCUGGGGAGUACGCCGGCACGGUG
rnacentral:rRNA from 1 species